AUGUCGUGAUGAGGACAUUUCCUAAGUAAGUCAUUCAAUUGUUCCCAUGCCUCAUGUAACAUCUCCCCAUCCCCUUAUGAAAACUCAGGAAUAGAAGUUCGCAUGC